ACGUGACUUCUGCUCCAGGAAGCCCUGGCGGUGGCUGUGGCUCUCGUUGGGCGGGCGAGACUCCACGUGCUCCCAGCAGGCCGGUUAAAACCGUUGGCGGGCGCUGGCCGAGAGGCAAUGUUUGCUAUCUUCAAUUAGAAGGAUUGAGUUUCAACAGGAUGACUUUUUGACAAGACUUAAAACCUAUCUUGGAUAGAGGAUAUUUAACCAUUUAGCUAAAAAUGGUAUUUUUUACAUGCAAUGCAUGUGGUGAAUCAGUGAAGAAAAUACAGGUGGAAAAGCAUGUGUCUGUCUGUAGAAGCUGUGAAUGCCUCUCCUGUAUUGACUGUGGUAAAGAUUUCUGGUGAGUUUCAUGUAAUUCAUGUAGGUCCACAGGAAGGGUCCAGACCAGUUUUGGAAGCCUUGGCCCCAUAAAAAUAGGAA